rnacentral:rRNA from 1 species
GGCCAGACUCCUACGGGAGGCAGCAGUGGGGAAUAUUGCACAAUGGGGGAAACCCUGAUGCAGCGACGCCGCGUGAGUGAAGAAGUAUUUCGGUAUGUAAAGCUCUAUCAGCAGGGAAGAAAAUGACGGUACCUGACUAAGAAGCCCCGGCUAACUACGUGCCAGCAGCCGCGGUAAUACGUAGGGGGCAAGCGUUAUCCGGAUUUACUGGGUGUAAAGGGAGCGUAGACGGCAUGGCAAGUCAGAUGUGAAAGCCCGGGGCUCAACCCCGGGACUGCAUUUGAAACUGUCAGGCUGGAGUGCAGGAGAGGUAAGUGGAAUUCCUAGUGUAGCGGUGAAAUGCGUAGAUAUUAGGAGGAACACCAGUGGCGAAGGCGGCUUACUGGACUGUAACUGACGUUGAGGCUCGAAAGCGUGGGGAGCAAACAGGAUUAGAUACCCUAGUACGU